rnacentral:rRNA from 1 species
GAUGAACGCUGGCGGCGUGCCUAAUACAUGCAAGUCGAGCGAACAGACGAGGAGCUUGCUCCUCUGACGUUAGCGGCGGACGGGUGAGUAACACGUGGAUAACCUACCUAUAAGACUGGGAUAACUUCGGGAAACCGGAGCUAAUACCGGAUAACAUGUUGAACCGCAUGGUUCAACAGUGAAAGACGGUCUUGCUGUCACUUAUAGAUGGAUCCGCGCCGCAUUAGCUAGUUGGUAAGGUAACGGCUUACCAAGGCAACGAUGCGUAGCCGACCUGAGAGGGUGAUCGGCCACACUGGAACUGAGACACGGUCCAGACUCCUACGGGAGGCAGCAGUAGGGAAUCUUCCGCAAUGGGCGAAAGCCUGACGGAGCAACGCCGCGUGAGUGAAGAAGGUCUUCGGAUCGUAAAACUCUGUUAUUAGUGAAGAACAAAUGUGUAAGUAACUAUGCACGUCUUGACGGUACCUAAUCAGAAAGCCACGGCUAACUACGUG